UACGAAGGGUGCAAGCGUUACUCGGAAUUACUGGGCGUAAAGCGUGCGUAGGUGGUUCGUUAAGUCUGCUGUGAAAGCCCCGGGCUCAACCUGGGAAUGGCAGUGGAUACUGGCGAGCUAGAGUGCGGUAGAGGGUAGUGGAAUUCCCGGUGUAGCGGUGAAAUGCGUAGAGAUCGGGAGGAACACCAGUGGCGAAGGCGGCUACCUGGACCAGCACUGACACUCAGGCACGAAAGCGUGGGGAGCAAACAGG
rnacentral:rRNA from 1 species